rnacentral:rRNA from 1 species
GAUGAACGCUAGCGGCAGGCCUAAUACAUGCAAGUCGAACGGUGUCUUCGGACAUAGUGGCGCACGGGUGCGUAACACGUAUGCAACCUACCUUACAUUGGGGGAUAGCCUUUCGAAAGGGAGAUUAAUACCGCAUAAGACAGUAGCUGGGCAUCCAGCAGCUGUUAAAGAUUUAUCGAUGUAAGCUGGGCAUGCGUCCAAUUAGCUAGUUGGUGAGGUAACGGCUCACCAAGGCAAUGAUUGGUAGGGGAACUGAGAGGUCAAUCCCCCACACUGGCACUGAGAUACGGGCCAGACUCCUACGGGAGGCAGCAGUAGGGAAUAUUGGGCAAUGGACGCAAGUCUGACCCAGCCAUGCCGCGUGCAGGAUGAAGGCGUUAUGCGUUGUAAACUGCUUUUAUACAGGAAGAAACGACUCUUGCGAGAGGCAUUGACGGUACUGUAUGAAUAAGCACCGGCUAACUCCGUGCCAGCAGCCGCCCGUAACAC